UCCCACUGCCUAAACCCAUUUCUGAAGCUUUAGGAACUACUGAACCAGCUGCAAUGGAGGCCACGUGUGUUCCAUGCCCAGUUGAAUCCCUUGGUGACCUUUCCUUGUUUGCCGAUGGAGGAAGUUGGAGGAGGUGAAAUCUGAUGCCGUCAUACAACCUCCCUUCCAUUUUGAAGGUAUUGGCCCAAUUCCUUUGUCACUAAAACUUUCAGCCUCCGGCCAAAUCCCUAAUGAUCAUAUAUAUAUAUAUAUAUCAAUUUCAAUAAUUAUAAUUAAAUUAUAUAUCAUUUUGGUUGGUUCAGCCAUAUAAUAUAUUACUAUUUUUAAUGAUAUAAAUAGUAUACACAAUUUUUUUAACAUUAUUAUUAGGCAUUUUGAAGUGCUCAACACUCUAUCAAUGUACCGUCUGUAUUGUAAGCAGUUAGUAAUAUAAUUUGACAAGAUGUAUAUGUUGACAUACUUACGUACCUGAGUCUAUUACCCCAAUAAUCAUGUUACUGGUGACAGUCUUUUCCAAACCCCAUUUUGACUCCAUUCCUGCUUCUAAAAAAUCCCAUGAACGUGUUGUUUGUGGUUGAACAAUUUCAUCCUCAAUGACCGAUACCACUUCACUAUGACCUG